UUUUGUUGUGUUUUAGAAGAUUACGACACAUGAUACCGCUCAAUAUAAAGUCUCAGUUGUAUAUGACCUAAUCAGAGCAAAGGCGUUUGUGCGUUACUGCAAGGCAGAAAGGUAGCAGUUACAGCCCCUGAAGAGCCUUUGAGAUGGAGAUGACCUCCUAAUGAGCAUUGGCCAUGCAAAGACCACCAAUGAAGAGGCAUAGAGCAGAUGGAAGAAAACACACAUUGUUGGAGUCACCAGAAGCCCUGAACCAGCACGCAUCCUCCGACAGCUUCUCAGCUCUCGCAUCUGACUGAUGACCGCAUGUCAGCCAAUCAGACGGACUCCAACGAGGUCCCCGUAAACGAAGACAAAAAAGACUACAACACCCGGCCCCCCAACACCCGCCACAGUCCAUUGACAGUCGUCUGAAACCGCAAGCACACUAAUCAGCAUAAAACUGCGUGACACAACCCCCAACUGGCCUCUUUCUCGCAAUUUACAGCCCCCCUCCACUAUUGUCCAGGAAUGUUCCUGUUCUCCUGCAGUCAGGGAGUGAAGAAUGCCUUCAUUCUCUCCCCAGCUAUGCGGGAAUUAUGCCACAGAGGAUUAGUAAAUAAAUACACAGCUUAAAAGGCUAAUGCCCAAACACAUAUAUGCUAAUUAUCUGUGCAGAUGCCACUUUCACAGUUUCACUUUGUGCUGAAGCUAUCAAGAGGCUGUUUGUAGGAUGUGGCAAAACCCUUGUUUUUGCUGACAGCUGUAGAUAUACGUAGAUGCAUAUUUCAGAUCACAUAAUGGGAUGAAGGCUGGAAAGGGCAAAGA